UCUGCAUUGGCCACUCCUGGAUUCUUCAGCUCAGAACUCUGAACACACAUUCUUCUCAGACCACAGGUUGUCUUCAGGUUAUGCUUAAGUGACAUUAUUGCUCUCAGGUGCGCCCACCAUACACCUUACCAGAUGUAGGCCCCUUGAUCUUGGACUUCUCAGACUCCAGAACUGUAAAAUAUAAGGCUAUGUUUCUUAUAAAUUACCUAGUCUGUGGUAUUCUGUUAUA
rnacentral:lncRNA from 1 species